UGUUGGGCCUUGCGCAACAUGGCUUUGUGAACCCCGUCAGGUCCGGAAGGAAGCAGCGGUAACAAAUACCCACGUGUGUUGCGAGGUACCCAGCAUUU
rnacentral:SRP_RNA from 1 species